UACAGAGGUCCCAAGCGUUGUUCGGAAUUAUUGGGCGUAAAGGGCGCGUAGGCGGUGCGGUAAGUCACCUGUGAAAUCUCCUGGCUCAACUGGGAGCUUGCAGGCGAAACUGCCGUGCUGGAGUGUGGGAGAGGUGCGUGGAAUUCCUGGUGUAGCGGUGAAAUGCGUAGAUAUCAGGAGGAACACCUGUGGCGAAAGCGGCGCACUGGACCACAACUGACGCUGAGGCGCGAAAGCUAGGGGAGCAAACAGG
rnacentral:rRNA from 1 species